rnacentral:rRNA from 1 species
CGACAGCAAUAUGAAGGUCAGGCUGAAGACCUUACCCGAUUAGCUGAGAGGUGGUGCAUGGCCGUCGUCAGUUCGUACUGUGAAGCAUCCUGUUAAGUCAGGCAACGAGCGAGACCCACGUCCACAGUUGCCAGCAUACCCUCCGGGGUGAUGGGUACACUGUGGAGACCGCCGCUGCUAAAGCGGAGGAAGGAGUGGGCAACGGUAGGUCAGGUAUGCCCCGAAUCUCCCGGGCUACACGCGGGCUACAAUGGUUGGUACAAUGGGCAUCUACCCCGAAAGGGGAAGGAAAUACUCUUAAAGCCAAUCGUAGUUCGGAUUGAGGGCUGCAACUCGCCCUCAUGAAGCUGGAAUCCGUAGUAAUCGCGUUUCAACAGAACGCGGUGAAUACGUCCCUGCUCCUU